rnacentral:lncRNA from 1 species
UUAAGCAAUAUGUCAUAUUGCUUUUUGAUAGGGAGGGAGGGAGGGAGUGAACGAGUGAACAAGUGAGUCUGGGGUUUGGGGCCUGCCUCAUUCACCCAGAGGCAGUGUGCAGAGAGGCAGUGCGCAGGCAGGUGUCCUUUGGGGUCAGCAGAGUUGGGUUGGAAUUCAAGUUCUGCCACCUCAUGGCUACGUGACCUUGGGCCCGUAACCUAAUCUACAAGCACUCAUUUCCUUAUCUUCAAAAUGUGAAUAAUAAUCCUUUCCCCCUCAGGCCUUGGUGAGGAUUAAAUGAGGGGCUCUGUGAAGCUCUUAGAGCCUCAUACCUGGCACAUAGUAAGUGCUCAGUAGGAGUUGACUGUUAGUGUUAUUAUCACUGCUGCUAUGCGGGGAGAUUAUACUAACGAGGCAUAAGUGCAGCUGUAUAAAAUUGGAGCUGCAUGUUGACAAGGACUAGAAGGGACUAUGAACACAGCUGUUAAGGAAUGAAAGGGAGUUAAAGAAAGUUUCUUCAAUGCUUCAUCAUUUUUUAGUAAAUAUUCCUCAGUGGAAUAAAUAAAACAUACAUGCAGUGGUGCUCAAUGGCCUUUGAAUGUAUGAAUGAAAAACAUUCUAACUUGGUUUUAUUGGUUGAGUCCAUUGCUUAAAUAUCAUACUAUAUCGCAGUGGAUACGCUUGGGGGGUUGCCUCUGGAAGGGAGUCAGUGCAGAAAAGAGUUAACAUUGCAGGCCUGCAGUUACAACUCUGUAAAUGCUGAAUUUACUGCUAGGGGUUUGAAUAAAUUCACAAUGAGAAAAAAAGGGAGAUUUUUUUUUUUUUAAAUGGCUUUGUAUUUUCUGCCUGUCGUAUCUGGAUAUACGAUAAAGUUGAUUUAAAAUGUUAUAUAUGCUUAUAAUUUUAUAAAUGCUAGAGGGAUCAUCCUAAUUAAAGAAAGAUGCAAAAAAAUAAAAUUAUGAAGGUGUUGCGGGGGGAGGUGCAGCUUCCUUGCUUUUUGCCACCAGUGUGUAGGUUGGAAUUUAAAUUCUUUUGGUAUUGGAACGAGAACCAGUCUCCAUAACUGAUGAUUUUUGCUAUGAUUUGUGUCUGUUGGAGCCUCAGGAAGGAAGGAGACAACAUGAACAAAGAGGCAAUCUCUGGAUAGAAAUACACAUUUAGAAUUUGAAAAAGCAGUUAAAUUGCUAAUAAGCCCAUGUUGAAAUCAAAUGUCUGACGCGUAGAGGCUGAUGACUGUGCAGCCUGCUGUGCGUAUUUUUGAGUGGAUCAGUUUGGACUCUACAACUGACAAGAUAAAGAGGAAGCCUUGCUGGUCACUUGGUCUUGGACCUGGCUGGCUGGCACUGCCGCCUGCCUUUGCUGCUGCCGAAGAAAAGCAGCUGGCUUGUUGGGAAUCCCAAAUUCACUGAUCCUAAUGGCCUGGACCUUACUCUAAGCUGAAAAGUGAUACUGACAGCCAUGAGCUGCUUCAGCCUCAACAGGAGCUGUGCUAAACUGAAAGCAGACACAGGCUCUAUGAACAGGACUCAGACCCCAGGACCACUGGAGAUUUAGGACCCCUUCUGUGGAGCUCUAAAUUAUGGAAACAUACAUCCUGAAUGCUGGCUGGACCAGCUGGGUCACAUAGAGAUGCCCACAGGAAAGGGCGUGUUCUCUGAUGGGACCAUCUGAAAUCAAGCCGCUGAUCAACUCUUUAUCUCCGAUGCAGAGGUUAAAUUGCAUCCUAACUUGUCAUCCCUGCCAGAAGCUGCAAGUUGGGGGAGGGCACAUCACAGGGACUGUGACCCCUCCACCUGCUUUUGACAAAUCAGACCUUCUGGACCUUCUCUGGGGGAUAUCUAACUGCUGUUGACUCGUGUUCAGCUUUCUGGAUUCGUUGCAACUUGCCACAAUGGGGUGAUGGCCUGACUCUACAGCCUGACUUUUCCCCCAGGACAGACACUUACUAAGGAAGAGGCCCACUGCUGCCUCUCCAUGCACUGGGAGUGCUUUGACUUCAGCCUGUGGAGCCUGGGAUCACGCCUGGCAGCCCUGAUACGUGACACCAGAGGGGGCCCAGCUCCUGCGCUCUCCAUGCAGAACACCUUCAAGCGUUGUGCGCACUCGUGAGAUGGAUAGACACAUAGAAUGGACAAGCGAAACUGUGUGGAAUCAACUCCCUUCAGGCAGUCCCUCAUAAACCAAGGACUGGAUGAGUUUCUCAGGGUGGCCUGGAAACUCUAGGGCAGGAGGCCCCAUGGUAGGAGGUGACAUUGGGGGCCCUGUUAACCUCUACUGCCUAACUAAUGUAUCUCCCACUUGGGGCACCCUAACACUGUAAACUCGUUUCCAGGGGGACCACACAUGCCCUCUGGGAUGGCACUUCUGCCUGUGUGCCCUGACUGUCGCCACACUGCCUCAGCCCUGGAAGGCUUCAGGUCAGCUUGAGUUUACCGGCCAUAGCUGUGCUGUACCUGAGUCGUUGCCUUGGGCCAGGCAAAAACAAGUCAUACAGAAACCGAAGAGGAGGCCACGAGGCUUUCUAAGAUGUAAGAUAGACUUGUAGAGUUAAUGGGAUCUAUUUUAACUGGCUAAAUCUAGGACCUCUAACAGGUCUAACUGAGAUCAGUACUGCAGGUUGGUCUCACCCUUUUAUGUGGGGUCCUUCUGAUCAUAAUUUUGCUGGAAAGAAGCCUGGCCAAGGGCCAAGGAGGGUGGACUGUGCAGAAAAGAGUUAAUCAUGCAGGUCUGACCCUGCUCUCCUCAGCAAGGCCUGUUAGCAAGGUUGUCCCCUGCCUGGUGACCGGGAGCUUGGAUUUGGGGAGGGUCUCACCAUUCCCUAGGUGAUGAGGGUGCUCACUGCCUAAACUAUUUGUGCCAACAAUGUGGUUUAUGCUGAACACCUGCUUUCCUUCUGGGAAUCUGGAAUUUUGGUAUGUGCUAGGCAGAGGGUGCCUAUGUGACCAGUCUGCAGUGAAAACCCUGGACACUGAGUCUCUAAUGAGCUUCGCUCGCUGAUAGAUAAGAUGUUGCACAUGUGGUCACAACUCAUUGCUGGAGGAAUGAAGUGUGACUCCAGUGGGAGAGGACUCUGGGAAGCUUGCGCCUGGUUUCCUCUAGACGUCGCCUUGAGCGCCGUUCCCCGUGCUGGUAGCCCCAAGCUGUGAUGCAGGCCCAGCUGCCGUGAGUAGGCUGUAUGCUGAGUCCUCUGAGGCUCCUAGUGAAUCAUCGCAUGGGGCCCCCCAGCACAGGGCACAGGGGGACUUCUGGGGUGUAGGUAAUGUUCUCUUUCUCAGUCCCGGUGCCGUUGACGUGGGGUGUGUUCAGUUUGUGAAAAUUCACUGAGCUCUACAAUUAUGUAAUAUACAUUUUUUCUGUACACAGAUUCAACUUCAAUAAAAAGAUAAAAUAGAAGAUUACACAGCACUGGGAUCAAAAAU